rnacentral:rRNA from 1 species
CUGGCGGCAGGCCUAACACAUGCAAGUCGAGCGCUCACUUCGGUGGGAGCGGCGGACGGGUUAGUAACGCGUGGGAAUAUGCCCGGUACUAAGGAAUAGCCUUUGGAAACGAAGAGUAAUACCUUAUACGCCCUUCGGGGGAAAGAUUUAUCGGUAUCGGAUUAGCCCGCGUAAGAUUAGAUAGUUGGUGGGGUAAUGGCCUACCAAGUCUACGAUCUUUAGCUGGUUUUAGAGGAUGAUCAGCAACACUGGGACUGAGACACGGCCCAGACUCCUACGGGAGGCAGCAGUGGGGAAUCUUAGACAAUGGGCGCAAGCCUGAUCUAGCCAUGCCGCGUGAGUGAAGAAGGCCUUAGGGUCGUAAAACUCUUUCGCCAGAGAUGAUAAUGACAGUAUCUGGUAAAGAAACCCCGGCUAACUCCGUGCCAGCAGCCGCGGUAAUACGGAGGGGGUUAGCGUUGUUCGGAAUUACUGGGCGUAAAGCGCACGUAGGCGGACUGGAAAGUUGGGGGUGAAAUCCCGGGGCUCAACCUCGGAACUGCCUCCAAAACUAUCAGUCUAGAGUUCGAGAGAGGUGAGUGGAAUUCCAAGUGUAGAGGUGAAAUUCGUAGAUAUUUGGAGGAACACCAGUGGCGAAGGCGGCUCACUGGCUCGAUACUGACGCUGAUGUGCGAAAGUGUGGGGAGCAAACAGGAUUAGAUACCCUGGUAG